GAAAGGGCUCGCCGCCAAUUGGCCACGAGGAGAAAGCCCCGUCUUGCUAUUGGCUAACGGAGACGGAAGGCGGAGUCGCUAACACUCAUAUAUAAGCAGCGGUCCGAGGCAGCCCCUUUCUUUUCAUUGGGUGACACCAACGGUAUUGGAAGACCUGGACUCUCCCUUAGACCAACAUGCCUGUUGCCAGGAGUUGGGUAUGUCGGAAGACAUAUGUCACCCCCAGGAGACCCUUUGAGAAAUCACGCCUUGACCAGGAGUUGAAACUGAUUGGUGAAUAUGGGCUGCGGAACAAGCGUGAAGUGUGGCGAGUGAAGUUCACUUUGGCAAAGAUCCGCAAAGCUGCCAGAGAGCUACUCACCCUGGAUGAAAAGGAUCAGCGACGUCUCUUUGAGGGCAAUGCCUUGCUGCGCCGUCUGGUCAGAAUUGGGGUGUUGGAUGAGGGCAAGAUGAAGCUGGAUUACAUCCUGGGUCUGAAAAUUGAAGAUUUCCUGGAGCGGCGUCUCCAAACCCAGGUCUUCAAGCUGGGUCUUGCCAAGUCCAUCCAUCAUGCUCGGGUGCUCAUCCGCCAAAGACACAUCCGCCUGCGAAGGAGUUUGUGUGGCAUUGUCCCAGCCACGUGCGUCUUAAGCCCACCAACCCCUUCCAUGGAUUGGACCCCUGGAUAGCCUAAUAGCCCUGCAACCCACCUAAUGAGGCUACAUGCCAAAACCUCAAAAGAUUUCGGCAAGGCUCACUGCGGCUCAGCCGUACACCUUGCGAAGGUCUUGGCACAUGCAGGUGAUGGAGUGUAAGGAAGCAGGUGGUGAACAUCCCAUCUUUCAUUGUUCGCCUGGACUCCCAAAAGCACAUUGACUUCUCCCUCCGCUCACCAUAUGGUGGUGGCCGGCCAGGUCGUGUCAAGAGGAAGAAUGCCAAGAAGGGACA